UACGUAGGGUGCAAGCGUUGUCCGGAAUUAUUGGGCGUAAAGAGCUCGUAGGCGGUUUGUUGCGUCGGCUGUGAAAUUUCGGGGCUCAACCCCGAACUUGCAGUGGGUACGGGCAGACUAGAGUGUGGUAGGGGAGACUGGAAUUCCUGGUGUAGCGGUGAAAUGCGCAGAUAUCAGGAGGAACACCGAUGGCGAAGGCAGGUCUCUGGGCCACUACUGACGCUGAGAAGCGAAAGCAUGGGGAGCGAACAGG
rnacentral:rRNA from 1 species